rnacentral:snRNA from 1 species
GUGCUUGCUUUGGCAGCACAUGUACUAAAAUUGGAACGAUACAGAGAAGAUUAGCAUGGCCCCUGUGGAAGACUGACACGCAAAUUCGUAAAGCGUUCCAUAAUAAA